rnacentral:lncRNA from 1 species
CGGCCCACGCCCGCCGCCCGCCCGCGGCCUGGAAGCCGGAGGGACUCAGCCUGCGGGCGCGGGAGAGGAGGGGGGAGCCCGGUGCCGGCGGGGCGGGGAGCCGGGGCGCAGGACGGCGGAGGCGGAGGACGCAGGAAGGGAGAGCCCGGGUGGGGCGGGGGCGGGGGCGAGGGGAGCCGGGGAAGGGCUGGGCCUGCGUGGGGGGGGGGGCGGCGGCGGUGCGGGAGGCCGGGCCCGGGGCCGGGGGAGGGGGAGUCCCGGCGCGCGGGGUGCCGGGGAGGAGCCGCGGAGGCCUCAGGCGCAGCCUCGCACGAAGCCCCUGCGGACCUCAGUCAGAACAGCCCUCCCGGGGCUCGGGCGCGUGACAGAGUCUAAGUAUCUGGUUCUGCUCAUUGGAAGAAUGCACCAGGCCAGCAGGCAGAGGAGGCACCCACCUGGUGUUGAGUUACAGGAAAGCCGCUCAAAUGGCUGGAACAAUAAUGGGAGGGCAGGUUCCAGCUCUGCCCCCCGCGAAUUCUGGGGCUCUGCCCUCCUCUGGUCUCGGCUCCACCUCAGACAUGGGUUCCCCAAGACAGCAACACCGGGGGCAAGUCCAGCAGUGGAAAGAACCGUGAGUGCUCAGUGGGCCAGGAGCUUCCCCCUCUGCACCUGUAGCAACGGCCAGGAAACACGCCGCGCGGCCCGGAUCUGGUCCCCAAGCAGCCUGGCCAAAGGGCUGGGGCUGUGGCGGCUUAGACCAGGCCCACGGUGGCCCACGGUGGCCCACGGCCACCUGGGCGAGUCACCGAGGCUCUCUAACCAAACACACAAGGUGGGGGCUUCCAACAAACACUAUUUGUUGUCUCUCAGUCCUGAUCCAAGACCAGAAGUGCGAGAUCAAGAGCCGGUUCCCUCUGGGGGCCUCUCCCGCGGCGGGCGGUGCUGGCCGUCCUUGGCUUUGCGCCGUCCCUCCAGUCUCUGCCCCACCCUCGGGGGGCCCUCUCCGCCGGCCUCUUCUUAUAAAGACACCAGUGGUGAGAUUUAGGGUCCACCCCCAUCCGGUGUGGCCUCGUUUUAAAUUGGUCACAUCUGCAGAGACCUUAUUUCCAGAUAAGAUCGCAUUCACAGCUCCAAGUUACGAAGCAAAAGGCACAAGGUAGUUCACCUCAGCCUUCUUGAGGGCAGUUUUGAAGAGAGGAGCCCAAGCCCCGCGGUGCUGAGGGGCCUGCCCGACCGGCCUGCCCCGAGCGCCCCGCUUGGGGAGGAGGCCGCCAGAG